CAAACGGGUGAGGAACACGUACACAACCUUCCUUCAAGCGGGGAAUAGCCCAGAGAAAUUUGGAUUAAUACCCCAUAAUAUAUUUGAUAAGGCAUCUUAUUAAUAUUAAAAGCUUCGGCACUUGAUGAUGGGUGUGCGGCUGAUUAGAUAGUUGGCGGGGUAACGGCCCACCAAGUCUACGAUCAGUAGCUGAUGUGAGAGCAUGAUCAGCCACACGGGCACUGAGACACGGGCCCGACUCCUACGGGAGGCAGCAGUAAGGAAUAUUGGACAAUGGACGAAAGUCUGAUCCAGCCAUGCCGCGUGAAGGAUUAAGGUCCUCUGGAUUGUAAACUUCUUUUAUAUGGGACGAAAAAAGGGCAUUCUUGUUCACUUGACGGUACCAUAUGAAUAAGCACCGGCUAACUCCGUG
rnacentral:rRNA from 1 species